CGCAUCUGUGCAUGCAGCAUAUCAAUAAGCGGAGGAAAAGAAACUAACAAGGAUUCCCCUAGUAACGGCGAGUGAAGCGGGAAGAGCUCAAAUUUGAAAUCUUAAAGGGUUUCCCUUUACGGAUUGUAGUUUAAAGAAGUGUUUUCUGUUGAGGUUUUGGUAAAAGUUCUUUGGAAUAGGACAUCAUAGAGGGUGAGAAUCCCGUAUUUGACCUUUACUUUCAACUUUGUGAUACACUUUCAAAGAGUCGGAUUGUUUGGGAAUGCAGUCCAAAAUGGGUGGUAAAUUUCAUCUAAAGCUAAAUAUUGGCGAGAGACCGAUAGCGAACAAGUACCGUGAGGGAAAGAUGAAAAGAACUUUGAAAAGAGAGUUAAACAGUACGUGAAAUUGUCAAAAGGGAAGCGUUUGACACCAGUGUUGUUUUUCUGAAAAUCAAUUAAAGAACUGUUUAUGCUAAGCUGUUUAGACUUUAUCAGCUAACUGUUUAGUUUUGAGCUUUUCUUUAAUGCACUUUUCAGUUAACAAGUCAACAUCAAUUUCUUUUGCUGUAAAAAAGCUUGAGGAAGGUGGCUUGAGAUUCGUCUUAAGUGUUUAUAGCCUCUUGCCUAUGCAGUCGGAGAGAUUGAGGUCUGCAGCGUAGAUCCUUCGGGGCUAAAUGCAUUUGUGCUAAGUUAUAGCAUUUUAUAGACAACUUGUUGACUAUGAUUUGUCUUGUAGCUUACUCGCUUAUGUUAUUUUACCUACGCUUAGGAUGUUGAGCGCAUGUCUCUCUCU
rnacentral:rRNA from 1 species